CUGGAGGUAUCAGAAGUGCGAAUGCUGACAUAAGUAACGAUAAAGCGGGUGAAAAGCCCGCUCGCCGGAAGACCAAGGGUUCCUGUCCAACGUUAAUCGGGGCAGGGUGAGUCGACCCCUAAGGCGAGGCCGAAAGGCGUAGUCGAUGGGAAACAGGUUAAUAUUCCUGUACUUGGUGUUACUGCGAAGGGGGGACGGAGAAGGCUAUGUUGGCCGGGCGACGGUUGUCCCGGUUUAAGCGUGUAGGCUGGUUUUCCAGGCAAAUCCGGAAAAUCAAGGCUGAGGCGUGAUGACGAGGCACUACGGUGCUGAAGCAACAAAUGCCCUGCUUCCAGGAAAAGCCUCUAAGCAUCAGGUAACAUCAAAUCGUACCCCAAACCGACACAGGUGGUCAGGUAGAGAAUACCAAGGCGCUUGAGAGAACUCGGGUGAAGGAACUAGGCAAAAUGGUGCCGUAACUUCGGGAGAAGGCACGCUGAUAUGUAGGUGAAGUCCCUCGCGGAUGGAGCUGAAAUCAGUCGAAGAUACCAGCUGGCUGCAACUGUUUAUUAAAAACACAGCACUGUGCAAACACGAAAGUGGACGUAUACGGUGUGAC
rnacentral:rRNA from 1 species